rnacentral:rRNA from 1 species
GAUGAACGCUAGCUACAGGCUUAACACAUGCAAGUCGAGGGGAAACGACAUCGAAAGCUUGCUUUUGAUGGGCGUCGACCGGCGCACGGGUGAGUAACGCGUAUCCAACCUGCCCAUCACUUGGGAAUAACCUUGCGAAAGUAAGACUAAUACCCAAUGACAUCCCACGAAGACAUCUGAAUGGGAUUAAAGAUUUAUCGGUGAUGGAUGGGGAUGCGUCUGAUUAGCUUGUUGGCGGGGUAACGGCCAACCAAGGCAACGAUCAGUAGGGGUUCUGAGAGUAAGGUCCACUACAUUGGAACCGAGACACGGUCUAAACCCCGACGCGAGGCAGCAGUGAGGAAUAUUGGGGAAGGGGCGAGAGCCUGAACCCGCCAAGUAGCGUGCAGGAUGACGGGCCUAGGGGUUGUAAACUGCUUUUAUAAGGGAAUAAAGUGGGUCUCGUGAGACUUUUUGCAGGUACCUAAUGAAUAAGGACCGGCUAAUUCCGUG